rnacentral:misc_RNA from 1 species
AUUUGUUUGUCAUCGGUGAAAAUAAGCACCAAAAUGCUCAAAUUCAUGUGGUAACAAGAAUUAUUUUCAUUGCAACAGUGAUUAGAUGCUCAACUUACAAUUUGAAGUGAAAGAAAGGGAUUGUUUUAAUGCUAUAAACACGAAUCAAUAUACACAAAGAAAAAGAAAGUGAAGUACAAGAUAGAUUAUUACUGUGCCAUUACAAGUCGUGUCCACCAGAGAUACCAAUCCAUAGUAGAAGCCUUCGCGGCCGGUCAAGAAAUCUAGCUUGCCAUGCAGGUUCAUCAUUUUCAUAUAUGAAGCCACUCUUUGUGUAUAACUUCUUUGCUGGCUCAUUCUCAGCGGCAACAUGGACAUAUAAGUCACUUAUGCCUGAAAAUAAUUCAACAAAUUUUGGUCUAAAAGGUACAAAACCAAAAAGACAGCAAACUCAGAUGUGCUCAUACUAAGCAGCAGAAAGACUUUAAAAGGCAUAACCAAUAGAUUAUACAGUUCAAAAUUUAAGAUAAAAGGUAGGCAUGUGUUGCAGCUGAACCCAUUACACCCAUUACGAUUAUAUUUGCAGCAAUUUACUAAGUUCUUACUAUUUUCACAAUUAUUACUUCAAUUUCCAAAAAUCAAAAGAUAAUGUUUUUUUGUGGAAUCUCAUGUAUAUCGAUGAACAGAAGGUAGUAUAGAUUAAUGAAGGCUGUGACUAACUACGAAAGUGAUGUUACUCACCCCAUUCUUGAGCUACUAUUUUUGACUCUGCGACAAGUUCAUAACCCAAGCCGCGCCUUUGCAGUUCCUUGGCAACACAUACAUUGCUCAGGUAUGCCCUCAUAAAAUCAGCUCCAAUACCCUGUUGAAGAAAACUUCUAAGGUAGCUCAAAUUUAUUAUCAUGAAAUUGAUAAAUCAUAUCAAAUUCCCAAUCAUAUAAAAUAAAUAACUCUCAGACCAGGAGUUGUUUUGUCCGACACUAGCCAACGGAAGUAGUCAAGCAUCAGGUCUAUAUCAAUGAUGUAAACAUACUCAUUGUUCACAAAUAUAUACAUGUGUAAUGCUCAACACAUACCAUGCACGGGACAAAUUCUCCAUGAAGAUCCAAGCAAGGUAGAAAUUCUUCAAGAUAAAGUAAUAAAUAUAACAUAUAAAGCAACUACUAGUACAUAGUUACGUACUCUUCAAAAAUACUGCUUGUAGCUAUGUAUGUUGCAAGUUAUUAAUAGAAAUUAUAAUUGCGAUUGAUAUAUAAAACUAAAAUAAAAGAAAUAAAAAAAAUACAUCUAACUACUACAAAUCAAUUAAGGUACUGCAAUCAAAGACAGUGAUUUUUAGAAGAAUUAUAUGAUUAUUUUUGAAAACUUUAAACAACGACAACUAAGCCUUAAUGUUCAUAUAAAUAAUUUUAAUUUCUCACACACAUGGUAAAGUAACUUCCCAUCUUUGAGCUGGAAAAUAUAUGUGGGAUCUAAAAGUUUAGAAAUUAAACUCUCCUAUGAACGUAAUUCUCACACAAACCAAAUACAAAAAUUUGACCUUUUUGGUCACUUUGCAGAUUCCAACAACCAAAACCCCCUAAAAGAGUGGGCUUUAAAGUUUUGUCCCAACUCCCACAUACAUUGUCUUAAAGUCCUACAAUAUAUUAAAUAGGAAAGAAUUUCCGCAAUUUGCCUUGACUUUUGAGUCCCAAAAAAGUAUAAACUCCUACCAACUCUCAAGACAGAAAAGACAUUAGCCUAAUAAUUGUUAUUAUUUUAUAUGAAUUUAAGUUUUUUAAGAAAAAUAAACUUAAGAAUUAGUAUGCAAUUAGGUUAUAUAUAUAUAUAUUGAAAAAUUUUACGAUUUAAACUGAACAUAAGAGAUAAAAUUGAACCAUGAAUUAAAUACCUUAAACAAAUAUAACAAAAAAGUAUCUAAAAAAAUUUAACACAUGAACAUUAAACUUCACCCACAAAAAAUCUAGCAUUCCUAUUAAAAUAGUUUAAACUGCAAUUUGAAUAUUAAUCAACUAAAUUCUAGCAAAUUCUUCAUUAAUAAGUUUAGCUUUUAAUUUUCAUAAGAACUCUAGUAGAAUAGGAAUAUAUUAUUAAUUUAAAAUUUCAUAUUUAUUAAAAUAUAAAUGGUCAAAGAACAUUUCAAUGAAUAAAAUGAAAUCUUAUUAUAAUUAGAAAUUUAUGUAGUAUAGAUUUCAUGUAUUUAAUAGGUUUAGGAUCCUUGGCCAACCAAAUAGGAAAUAAUAAGAAUUAAUUUUAUGUCAUUUACUUGCUUGGAGUAAUCUUUAAAUAUAUAAUUUUAUCUAUAUACUAUAAUGAAAUAUUAGUAUUAGAAUUUAUAUUUUAUAAAAAUAAACAAGAACAAAAUAAUAAAAAAAUAAAGUGAUUUAAUGUGAAAGUAGAAUUCUACUAAUUUUGAAGUCUUUUUUAACCUUAAGUUACUUUUAUUUUUUUUUUACUUCAUUCUUAUGUAAAGGGAUUUAACUUAAUUAUUGAUUAAUGAAUUAGUAAACUUAGUAAGUUUUAUAUGAUUUGUUAAAAGAAAAAAGCAUUAGGGUAAAUAAGAUCCCAUUGUUCCAACACCAAAACGGAUUCCAUUGCACCAAAACUACUAUAGCAAAGAUGAAAUAAAUAGGAUUAAAGAGGAAUUUGAAUAUAUUUAGGAAAUUAAUUCAUAAAAUAGUAGAAUUAAAAAUAUAACACUUAUGGAAACUCUAAAGUAAAAUUAGGAAUUCAAUAUUCAUAAAAAAUAAUAAAAAAAACUAAUAGAAAGUGGUAAAUAGUAGUGCAAUUUUAAUAUUGUAAAUUGAAAUAAUACAGAUACAUAAAGGGAGUAAACUAAUUAGGUAUACAUAUAGUAGCAUACACAAGUCUUUUAGUAAUUUUUUAUGUAUAUUAUCGAUUUGGUUUCAGCAGAGAACAAAUUACAUUGAAAAUAAACGCCAGUUGCCAUAAGAAACCAUAAUGCAAAACAUUGUUGAUGAUUCAAAUAAAAAGCAUGGGAAGGAUAAUUAUGGUAUAGUAAAUUGAAUCCAUGUUUAUGCUCAUGCUUCUCAACUUACCCAAUGCAAGAUUAUAACAACUAAUAUUUUGAUUACAGUGAAGAAAAAAUGACUUCCAAUUAAGAGCAGCUUAAAGAGCUUCCUCACCACUGAAAUGAUAUAUAGAUAUAUACAAAACUAAUAAUGUACCUCAGGUUUUUUGCCUGUUAUUUCAUCUGGUAGUCUUAGACACUGAUUAAGAUCGAGUGUUCCAACUACUACUCGUUCUUCUCCAUUAUUAGUAUACUUACAUUCAGCACAUAAAUCUUCAGAUAAGCUUGAUAAUUGCGAUAAUGGAAGAGUAGCAUUUAUGCAAGAAACUCUUCUAAAGCCUGUCCUCUUACCAGCAAUACGCUCUUUUACUGCUUCAAACUCACGCUCCGCCAAGUACCUUUUAUGAUCUUGGAGGCCGUAAGAGGAAGGCGUGAACUCAUAGAAGGAGCGGACACGGAGACACGAGGCGGCCCAGAGCUCGUCCUCCGCCUCUGUUUCUGCUAUUAUGAGUGACGAUUUGUCAACCUCGUGGGGCGUGCACACCUGAGAGGCUGCGAUGGGUCGGAUGUGAAACCGAUGAGAUGUCGAUUGUUGAAGGAACGCAGUAGAAUUGAGGGAAUUACAGAAAUUUGGACAUGUAAUGGACAAGGAGAUGGUAAGAGGACUUGGAUAAGAGGAAAGGAUUGCCAUUCUUUCUUUCUUUUCUGCCUUCUGUUUUGGUCUUUGUAUUUUCGAAUUGGGUUAUCCGUUGCUUCGCGUUUCUUGUUA